ensembl:lncRNA
UUUGCAGUGGAAGUUUCCUGUAUUUUCUGUAUAUAGAAUAGGAUAAGUAAUGUUUUACAAAGAAAACUGAACAGAGUAAAGUUGAGACUGGGGCGUUCCGACCUAGGUAGAAUUAGCACAGGUACUAGGGUAAAGAAGAUACAGAACAAGUGAAAAUGUUGUCCUCCUAUUGCUAUAAAAAGUCCAGAACAUACCCAAACCCAUGGGUUGGAACAGACAUUGCUAUGGAAGUAUAAUGUAGCUAUGGAAGUAUAACUGUAGUUAUGGAAGUGUAAAUAUAGCUAUAGAAGUGUAACGUAGCAAUAGCGUCAAAGGUAAUGAGCCUAAGAUGUUCAACCAGUGUGUGCCAGGAGAGGCUUUACCUGCGUCAGACCCAGGGUAUAAAAAUGGAUGGAUUUUACUGUCUAGUUGUGCAAUUUCUUCCUUGUCAGUAGGGGGUGUGCGCCCAUUAUUGCAAUAAUAAAAAAACUGCUCUUCACAGAGAUCUUUGCCUGAUUAGAAAUUUUUGAUCUUGAGCGUGUUUCUCACAGAAGUGAAAAUAACCAUCAACUCAAAAAUUACAUCUAUGAAAUAAUGUGUUCUGUAAUAAUCUAAAUAAUCUGAAAAAAUCACUGUUUUUUUCUUUGAAGAAAGUCUUUUGUGCUGUGUUGCCAAGGCUGAAGUAUAAGCACAAAAUAUUUUAAACAAAUCUCAUGUCUCCGUAUAGACAUUUGCCUAGACAUGCUAGGCAAAGAGCAUGUUUCUGUCUAAAAUUGUGACUUGCCUUCAGUUGGCAAAUGUGCGGUCCUGCAGCAAGCUGAACACUUUUCAGUCAUGCAGGUGAAACUGCAACAAAAGUUUAACCAAAGUCUGACACCUACUUAACAGAAAAUUAGGCUAAUCAUUCUUUAUGCAGGGGGAAUUCACAAACCUCUUUUUUUUACUUAAUCUGUGCUUUUCCUCCAAUUCCCCUUGCAUCCCACUGUGCCCAAUACCUUACUCCUGACGGGACUACUGCUAGUUUUUAAAGCACUAGAAUAAAGUAUCUGUGACUUUUUUGGCCAAGACUGAACAGCCAUAAUCCAUGCAUAAGCCAUUGAUGAUGCUGUGGUUUCCCAUUUCCCACAUAUUUUGCUGUUUGAUCCCUAGUGUGCUUAGUAAAUUAUUGUAACUAACAAGGGGAGAAAGAGCUGUAUAUCACAGUGCCAACCCUCCCAGGGCUAGUGCGCAGCUGCUAUGCCUCACAAGAGCUACAUCAUACUGCAACAUGAUGUGGCAUAUAUAAUCUACAAUAGUAACCAUCAGUUAUGUCUGAAUCAUUAGCUGUUUGAAGGAACAUUUAAUGGUUCCUUCAACGACUCUAUUCAUUCUUCUUACAUUAGCUGUUAAGCUAUCAUCUAUUUAUGUACAUAGUACCUCCAUACCUGUGCAGGCAACAGCUCCAUUCGUGUUUUGUUCAGCGGAGACCAGAUGAUAAGUAUGUGACUGAUAAAAUACCGUGUCAAUCAAGGAGAACCUGUGCAGCAGCUGAAUUAAUCUCAUUUUAUUUCUAAACGUACAUUGAUGAGGUUCAGCUGAACUCUGGUAUAUGAAUAAAAGAGGGCCAGGCUGGACAAUGCUUUCUUCAAUUUAUAUGUGGAAAAACAAAGCAAGGCCUCUUUUCAUCUGCUCAGCAAAACGGUGGAGAUUGCACAGUUUGUACCAGCUGAAAAUCCUGUAUCUGUCAUGAAAAUUAUAGUCUUUUAUGCUGACCUUUGCUUUCUCUUCAGUCUGCACUUUUGUCUAUACUGCGGUCUCCAUGACUGUUCUGCAGAACCCUGUUUUCUUCUCUGAGACUGCAAUGGGCCUAUAACAGCCUACAAAGACUUCCUCAUCAUCUCUUCACCAUUACUGUUGCAUUCCACUUAAUUAUAUUUCCUAAUUUCUUUUUUUCUCCACCACUGUCUGCAUUCUGCAGUUAAAUUAUUUGAAACAUAGGUCUAAUAAACUCUGUUGGAUUGCUUUUUAUAAUGAAUAUGAUGUUAUGAUAUCAAAUUUGCAGGAUCAGGCUUUGUAUGUUAAUUGUAAAAGACUUCCAGACUUUGAAUGAAAUUCAGCCCUGUAUUUCAAUUCAUCUUCAGGCAGAGUAUAACUGUUCACAAGAACUAAUGGUUUUGUGUGAUAUGCUAUAUCAUACUUAUUUCCCAUAGCAACACAUUUCUGUGUCUGCUAUGAAUAACUGAUCUCUAUAUAGACUAACACUGUUGUUUAAUAUAGCAGAGAUUUCUAUGUAUCUGUUAAGACAUUGUGCAACUCAAACACCAAAUAAAUAAUAAUUC